CUCUCAUUGUCAUAACUCCCAGGGAAGGUCUAGUCUAGCGUAUUUGCCAGUCUUUCCCAACAUUAAACAAGGUCUUUCUCUUUCUCAUGCUCUGUCUCAGAUGAGCGGUCUGGUGUCUCCACUCCAAGUGACAUGAGUCUCCAGGGAAUCCUGCUAUGGAUAUGGCUCUGUGGCUGUGCGAGGGAGGCGUUGUGCUGCUCCAGAUUCCACAUCUAGUUUCCUGUUUUUUCCCUUGCAUCUCUGUUUGGGGUUUUCUGUUCAUCUCCCAGGGAUGCGUAUGGUGACACCUGUCUGCUCCUACUUGGAUGGAAACUUUAAAUGAUUAUGGAGCUAUACAUGAAAAACAAAAAGAGCAAAAUUUCCAGCCAUCUAUAUAGAUAAGUGGCUUGGUCUUCCUCCUCUUUCUUCAUCCUUGUUAUUAGAAUGUGUUUACAUUCUGUGAGUGGAGUUGGUGCAUGUACAUGACCCAUGCUAAUUCCUUUUUCAUCCCCUUUCCUUCCCUCUCUCCACCUCCUUUCAUCUUUUGACCCCCUUCCCAUUUGAGAAAGAUGUACCCUCCUUUUUCUUAUUAUAUUUUAUUUUGCUCUUCAUUUAUACUUUGGGUUUCUCAUGUAAAAGAAACCACCCAAUAUUCAAACUUGUGUGUCUGAUACAUUUCACUUAACAUUAUGGUCUCAAAGUGAAUCCUCUUUCUUUCUUUCUUUUUUUCUUUUUUUUUUUUGUACCAGGAUUGAGCUCAUGACCUUGAGCUUGUUAGGCAAGCAUCUGUGUCACUGAGCUAAACCCUUGUCCCUUAUUUUCUUAGAAACAACUCAAGUUUAUCUUUCUUCAUGGCAGAGUAGUGCUCCAUUCUGUCUUUAUCCAUUUUUAUAAUUAAGUUUUAUGACUAAAUAGUUAACAUUUAAAACUAUGAAGUUACUGAGAGGAAAUGAGGGCAAAAUGGGCAAUUAAAUAAAAUUUAAAGAGUUAUACAUACAGCAGAGAUUUAAGGUGGAGAAGGACUAGAUUUUCUCAUUUUAGUUCAGGGGCACCCAUUGACUUAUACCAUGAUAGUUGCCGUGCCAGGAAUUAGAGAGAAAAAUGUGUAUAAGUCACAGUCCUUCUUUAGAAGUCAACGUAAAGUAACUAACACUGCACAACUUUUUUUUCAAUGCCCAAGGGCCAGUGGUGGAAGUUAGGAAGUCUGUACUAGAAGGCUGAGAGAUCUGUACUGGAAACCAGGAGACAGUGUCCAAGAUGAAGACAAGCAUUAAAGCUCUCUCAAAAGAAGACAGCAACCAAAGCUUUUUUGAAGAAAAAUCAUUGGUAAACAACUUCUUUAUGAAAAUCACUGCAUAUGGUCUUCUCCUCCUGGUCUCUUUUUAUGCCAUUCUGGGAACAAUCCUCAUGCAGACCUUCCACACAGAGAACCACAGUGAUUCAGUUCAGCUGGAUGUCCCCACUCUGGAUGUUGACCAUUAAUUAGUCUGCCACAAGUAUAGAUAACUCCUGGAAUGAUGCGACAAAAAAAUGUUUAACUUCACUGCUGGUGAUCCGGAAAUGGACAUGAGUGGAAGAAAAUGCAGUGACACAUCUCAGGAACGGACAGAUAUAGAGGAAUUACUGUACAGUUUCUCAAUAUAUUUCAUGCUGGCCUUGAACUUACUAUGGAGCCCAGACUAUCCUUGAACUUAUGACAGUCCUCUUGCCUCAGCCUCCUGAAUUCUGGAUUACAGGAUUUCACUGUGUAGCCCAGGUUGGCCUUGAACAUCUUCCAUUCGAUUGGAUAAUAAAAAGCCUAAACUCAUGUCAAUGACUGACUUUAUGAAGAGCGAGAACUCAGAGGGCUUCAAUUCUGUCACAACUGUGCAAUUUAAAUCAGAAGCAAAAACAGCCACAAUGGCCUUCCCUAGCCACUCAGCCAUGUUGACUCCUUAAAUGUUCUGGCUGUAAUGCAAAAGAGAUGGAGCACUUUGGGUAGCAUCUACAAUAGCGGGAGAAAUCAGGCUCACUAUGAUUUUACUUUACUUCAUGGAAGAAAUCUCAUAGCAAGGAGGUCUUUCUUGGUACUGGACAGUGCACUUUGAUGGAUAGGUGACAGAGCAGGUACUCUUAAACUGGAGCCCACAGAAGCCUUCAAAAAUUAAAUCUUCCUUUCCAUGAGCUUGUGGCAGUUAUGUGGGCCAGGAAAAGAAUCAAGAAGUCAGCCUGCCCUUCCUGUGAGCCAAAAGCAGUUGUGGGCCAGAAAGAAAACCAAGAAUCCAACCUGGCCUUCCCAUGAACCAGAAGCAGCCAUGCAGGUAAGGAAAAAAACAAGAAGUCAGCCUGCCUUUCCCAUAAACCAGCGGGCACACAGGUUGGGAGACAGAAGAGUCUCUCCCUCCCCCAGUGUAGGCAACCAGCUAAUUUGGAGGAACACAGGCUAGGAUGAUAGCAACUGAGGUACAAAAACAAAUUAAUGGCUGUACUGAUUGGUUGACUUUUCAGGUUGGGGCAGGUAGUCUAAGCAUCUGAUUAAAGAAUAGCAAUGUGCAAUAUAGCAACUAUGAGGAUUUCUUUCAGUCUUGUUUUUGAAACCCAAUGUUGUUCUUGCUGUUUUGUUUUGUUCCAUUUUAUUGUUUUGUUUUAUUCCUUUCAAAACAAAACAAAAAAAUUCAAUCUUUGGGGAAACUGUGACAACUCCCAAAUUCUUAGAAAACUGUUGUGUGAAUGUCUUUAUGAGCUUAACUGUUCUGGAUUGAAGACUCUCAGCUUUCAACAAACUGACAUCUAUGAAUUUAACAAGGCUGGAGAGGUACU